rnacentral:rRNA from 1 species
GUACUCUCCGGAGUGACGGGUACACUGUGGGGACCGCCGCUGCUAAAGCGGAGGAAGGAAUGGGCAACGGUAGGUCAGUAUGCCCCGAACUAUCCCGGGCUACACGCGAGCUACAAUGGUUGGUACAAUGGGUAUCUACCCCGAAAGGGGACGGGAAUCUCCUAAAACCAAUCUUAGUUCGGAUUGAGGGCUGCAACUCGCCCUCAUGAAGCUGGAAUCCGUAGUAAUCGCGUUUCAACAGAACGCGGUGAAUACGUCCCUGCUCCCUU